AGUGAACGCUGGCGGUAGGCCUAACACAUGCAAGUCGUACGGCAGCACAGUAAGAGCUUGCUCUUACGGGUGGCGAGUGGCGGACGGGUGAGGAAUACAUCGGAAUCUACUUUUUCGUGGGGGAUAACGUAGGGAAACUUACGCUAAUACCGCAUACGACCUACGGGUGAAAGCAGGGGAUCUUCGGACCUUGCGCGAUUGAAUGAGCCGAUGUCGGAUUAGCUAGUUGGCGGGGUAAAGGCCCACCAAGGCGACGAUCCGUAGCUGGUCUGAGAGGAUGAUCAGCCACACUGGAACUGAGACACGGUCCAGACUCCUACGGGAGGCAGCAGUGGGGAAUAUUGGACAAUGGGCGCAAGCCUGAUCCAGCCAUACCGCGUGGGUGAAGAAGGCCUUCGGGUUGUAAAGCCCUUUUGUUGGGAAAGAAAAGCAGCAGGUUAAUACCCCGCUGUUCCGACGGUACCCAAAGAAUAAGCACCGGCUAACUUCGUG
rnacentral:rRNA from 1 species